rnacentral:lncRNA from 1 species
CAGCCGCCGCCCGCGGAACGCCGCGGCCGCGGGCCCCCGUUUCCAGCCGGAGCACGUACGGACUCCGGCGCGCUCGCCACGUCCAAUGGGCAGGCUCGGGGGGCGGGACAAAGGGAGCGCGCCCGCCCCUCCCUGCGCUGCUUCCGCGUCAUGGCGGAGGUGCGGUUCGCGUGUUUUGGAACAGUGGGGCGCAUUUCCGAAGGCGGUGGCUGAAGUUUCCCCCCUUUCCAGGGUGGUCCCCGCGGGAUCGCGGCUCUCUCGCGGGCCCCGGGGCCGGACUUUUACCCGGCCCGGAGCGUAGGCCCGGGGGCGCCGGGGUCCCGUCCCUUGUCUGUGCGCAGACUCAGGCCCGCGACCCUCCCGGGGACGGCGCUGCGCUCCGGUCGCGGCCACGUCGUCCCGGUUUCCGGUUUGCUUGAGGCCGCUCGAGCCAGAGGCGCACACCGCGGUCCUCCGCCGCCGCGCCGGAGCUGCACCGCACAGCGCCGAGGGAGAAGGGGUCCCCCACCCUUUGCCUGCGCGCCCACCCGCGCCCGUCCCCCAGCCCGCCGGCGAUCGCAGGCGGCAGGACCGAAAGCCCUGCCUUUGUGGGAGCUCCCGCGGCUGCGGAACCCGCAACUAUAGAAGUAAGGAAUGGAUACUGACAGAAGGAAAGCCUGUGAGAGUUUCCACAGCUCUGCCAUGUGUGCUAUUCUUCCAUAAGGUGGAAAUUCUUCAGGUUUUGUGGGAAACCAGCAUAAAUUGCAGUAAUCUGUCUACCAAUUGCCUGAACCACUUCUGGGAUCAUUUCUUCAACCAGCAAACUAGGACACUGCGGUCAGCUUCCACUAAGGUAGCUGGCUGUCUGUCAUAGCAAGUGAGCAUAGAUGACACCCAUCGAUGUGUUAUUAAACUGAGGAUUCUUUAAAAGUAUAAAAUGUGCUCUGAGAUCAUCAUUUGUUCAUGAGCCUCUCCAUUCUCAUAUCAGCUUGUUAAUGAUUCCUUUUAUACUGUUUUUUGAAUGUCUUGAGGAAUAUUUAGUAAAGCUUCAUAUACAGCCCUACAACCUUAGCAUUAAUCACAGUCUUCAGUAGUUCAAUGAGGCAGUGGCAUCUCUCGAAAAUCUUUCACAGUUUCAGGCUGAAUGGGAAGGACAGGUUCUGGAAGGACUGGUGCCAUCUUUUCCGAUAAUAAUGCAUCUCUAGAGAUCUGCUGCUUUUGUCUAACAUCAAGGCAAAUUGGUGACAGGUCCCUUACGAACUCGAUGUUAGGGAAAACAAGAUGUGUAGAUGAACUUCUGUUUUCAGCAGCUUCCUUCUUCUAGCUAACAGUUGAAAAAACUCUCAAAGUGGAAAUGUGGCCUCUGGCUCCAUUGCUGGCAGACAUGACCGGCAGCAGCUUCUCGAAGCCCAGUUCCUUCGCUUGCCUCUCUUUGUGCCCGGCAGAAGGGGCAAGCAGUGAGAGCCCCAGUUGCCCUGGUGAUGGUAACUUUUUGACAGAGGGAACCUUUG